UUCCGUGUAGCUCAGUUGGUAGAGCGUCGAUCUAGUAAUUCGAAGGUCGUGCAUGGGUUCGAAACCCAGCCGCGGGAG